rnacentral:rRNA from 1 species
AUUGAACGCUGGCGGCAGGCCUAACACAUGCAAGUCGAGCGGCAGCGGAAAGUAGCUUGCUACUUUGCCGGCGAGCGGCGGACGGGUGAGUAAUGUCUGGGAAACUGCCUGAUGGAGGGGGAUAACUACUGGAAACGGUAGCUAAUACCGCAUGACCUCGAAAGAGCAAAGUGGGGGAUCUUCGGACCUCACGCCAUCGGAUGUGCCCAGAUGGGAUUAGCUAGUAGGUGAGGUAAUGGCUCACCUAGGCGACGAUCCCUAGCUGGUCUGAGAGGAUGACCAGCCACACUGGAACUGAGACACGGUCCAGACUCCUACGGGAGGCAGCAGUGGGGAAUAUUGCACAAUGGGCGCAAGCCUGAUGCAGCCAUGCCGCGUGUGUGAAGAAGGCCUUAGGGUUGUAAAGCACUUUCAGCGAGGAGGAAGGCAUCACACUUAAUACGUGUGGUGAUUGACGUUACUCGCAGAAGAAGCACCGGCUAACUCCGUGCCAGCAGCCGCGGUAAUACGGAGGGUGCAAGCGUUAAUCGGAAUUACUGGGCGUAAAGCGCACACAGGCGGUUUGUUAAGUCAGAUGUGAAAUCCCCGCGCUUAACGUGGGAACUGCAUUUGAAACUGGCAAGCUAGAGUCUUGUAGAGGGGGGUAGAAUUCCAGGUGUAGCGGUGAAAUGCGUAGAGAUCUGGAGGAAUACCGGGUGGCGAAGGCGGCCCCCUGGACAAAACUGACGCUCAGGUGCGAAAGCGUGGGGAGCAACAAG